GUGGCUAUAGCUCAGUCGGUAGAGCGCUGGAUUGUGGUUCCAGAAGUCGUGGGUUCAAAUCCCACUAGCCACCCCA
rnacentral:tRNA from 1 species